rnacentral:misc_RNA from 1 species
GAAAUUGUGCUUGUUGAUGUGGUUUUCUUCAUCGGCGAGAGUAAGAACUUCACUCUCAUCCACAUAGUCGAUACCAAUGGCUUCGAGAAUCUGAGCUUCAACGAAAUGACCGAUUCGAGCCUUCGCCAUCACCGGAAUCGUAACAGCUUGUUUGAUUUCCUUGAUGAGUUGAGGGUCACUCAUUCUGGCGACGCCGCCCUGGGCUCGGAUAUCUGCAGGAACUCUCUCAAGAGCCAUGACGGCGCAAGCUCCGGCCUCUUCGGCGACACGAGCCUGCUCGGCGUUGACGACGUCCAUAAUUACGCCGCCGCGGAGCAUUUGAGCCAAUCCAACUUUCACAGAGAAGGGGGAUUGC